rnacentral:lncRNA from 1 species
GGACUACAGGCCCACGCCACCAUGCCCCACUAAUUUUUUGUAUUUUAAGUAGAGAUGGGGUGUUUCACUAUGUUGCCCAGGCUUAUCUUGAACUCCUGGACUCAAACUCCUCCCAAAGUGCUGAGGCUUACAGGCAUGAUCCACUGCACCCUGCCCCAUCCUUCUUUCUUUCCUUCCUAUCUCUUCCUGUCUUUCUAAUCCUUCCUGCUCUUUCUGCCCCUUCCUGCUCUUUCUGCCUUUCUUCUUUCUUUCAUUUGUUCUGUCUUUUAGCAAACUUUUAUUAAGCCUUCACUAUAUACAAGACACUGUCUCAGCCACAUCCAUUGUAAACCACACCAAUUUCCACAUAUCCUCAGCCACAGGGGGAAGAAAGGCCUUUUUAUAGCCACAACUGCUGAAUGUCUCUGAUCAGGACAUAGCUCAUCAGGCAUAAGGCACAAAUUGCUUAACUUCUUUCAAAUGGCAUUGCGUAAUAGACACUUUUAUAUUGGAACUACCACUAAUGGCCAUUUUCUUUAUAGGUAGUGCCAUUAUUUCUGUUACAUUUCUGAAAGACAAUUUGAGAGCCUCAGACUUACUCGGUACGACACUGGCAUUUGCAGGAACAUAUUUACUGGUGAACUUUGCUCCAAAUAUAACUCAGGCAAUCUCAGCAAGAACAGUACAGUAUUACCUUGUCGGAUGGCAGUUCCUGAUCUAUGUGGUAAGAAUUCUAAAUAUUUUACUAUCCCCGAAGCUAUAUUAUCCAGACCACUGGUCCAUGCAGAUAUUAGAGAACAUAAUCUUUUCCUUACCAGCACUAAUAUCUUAUUAAAAUCUAAAUGUAUUUGACCAAUACCAAAGUAUUUGAAAUACUAAGUCAGCAACAGAAGCACCCUUAGUUUCCCAGGUAUCCUUUCCUGGAACAAUUUCCACAUCGAUUAAUCCACCAAGUUCCAGAGCAAUACGUUUUAGGAAAACUCAGAGUAAAAAAAAACAUUCCCUUCCAAGUUGAAGGGACAAUACUUAAGGACACAUUUUGCUUUACUGAACUUUAUUCAAAAUAGGGGUUCUCUUCAAAAAAGUCCUUGUUUUUUAUGGCUACAUAGUAUUCCAUGGUGUAUAUGUGUCACAUUUUCUUUAUCCAAUCUAUCAUUGAUGGACAUUUGGGUUGGUUGCAAGUCUUUGCUAUUGUGAACAGUGCCACAAUAAACAUAUGUGUGCAUGUGUCUUUAUAGUAGAAUGAUUUAUAAUCCUUUGGGUAUAUACCCAGUAAUGGGAUUGCUGGGUCAAAUGGUAUUUCUAGUUCUAGAUCCUUGAGGAAUCGCCACACUGUCUUCCACAACGGUUGAACUAAUUUACAGUCCCACCAACAGUGUUCCUGUUUCUCCACAUCCUCUCCAGCAUUUGUUGUUUCCUGACUUUUUAAUGAUCGCCAUUCUAACUGGCGUGAGAUGGUAUCUCACUGUGGUUUUGAUUUGCAUUUCUCUAAUGACCAGUGAUGAUAAGCAUGAGGGAUAGCAUUAGGAGAAAUACCUAAUGUAGGUGACAGGUUGAUGGGUACAGCAAAUCACCAUGGCACAUGUAUACCUAUGUAACAAAACCGUACAUUCUGCACAUGUAUCCCAGAACUUAAAGUAUA